GCUCCCGUGGCUCAAUGGUAGAGCGUGUGACUUCUAUGUAGAGGUCAAUCACAAGGUUGUGGGUUCGAGUCCCACCGGGAGUG